rnacentral:rRNA from 1 species
GGGUGCGAUCAUACCACCACUAAUGCACCGGAUCCCAUCAGAACUCCGCGGUAAAGCGUGCUCGGGCGAGAGUAUUACUAGGAUGGGUGACCUCCCGGGUAGUCCUCGUGUUACACCCC